CGUGCGCUCCCUCUAGGGCACGUGGUAAGCUCAUGUGUGUACACGCGCGUUGUUAUGUAGCCCUGCAGAAUGUGCAGAAGGAAAUUGGUUGCACGUCGUCUUGUUUUCAGUUCCGUAGCUGAACUCGUAGCUCUAUCCGUCAUGGGAGCGAUAGAGCGCUGAAAUUGACUAAGUGCUACCUUCAACCCUUCCAGUGAUGUCUUCUGCUUGUGGUAUCACAACUUUGAGAUGAGACCUCUGUUUGUCAUCAAUUUCAUUGGCACUUGUAUCUGGUAAUGUUGCCACACAAGCAGUUAGACAAUGUUUUGCACACACUUUGUGGAUAUGUUUGCAUAGGUGCCCUGUUGCAAAGUCGUAGCAGGUACACUGAAACAUGUGCCGACAGCAGCCACAGAUGGCACAUGUGAAAGAUGCACAACUGGAGUUGGGACAACAUGGAUGUUUCCUUCACAUUCCUGUGUGUAUGUGUGAUAUUCAGUUUAUAAUGAGUGUGUAAACGUAGCUUAUUUGCAUUUAUGUACCUCCACAUCUGCAUCGCUGAUCAGAAUUCUCCGGUCAUGUCGUGUCUCUUCUUGUUUUGUCCUAGGAUUGAGUGUAUGCCAGCGUUGUUUUUUCUGUACAUCAAGAGAUGUUUGCCAAAUAAGAGGGAUGUCUCUUCAGUUUGCUGUGGAAACUGCAAGAAAGAAACAGUAUACAUCAGCUACUGUGAAAUCAAGGGUGAUGUUUUAGUGACCAUUGAGUGUUCCUUGAUAGUCAAGAGUGUGCAGUUGGAGAUUGGCAACAUCCGGGACCUUUGGGUCAGAGUUCGAGUGCGGGAGGGCCACAUACAUAAGUUCCCUUGGGCAAGGAACUAACAUACGAUUGCCUCUCUCUCUGGAGUGUCAGUUCUGUCCAGCAAGUAUGAAGUAUGAAGUAUGAAGCACAGCAAGUAUGACGUACCUAGUGACAUGAUAGAGUGACUGCUGAGGCAGCAGCAGCAGCAGCACCAGCACCAGCACUCCCAGACAGCAAAGAUGAAGAAGAACAUGAUGACAUAUAGUAACUGAGUUUAGAUUGUACGGUAGUAAGUAUUUAGUAUCUGUAACCUGGGCCCUAAGGGUCCUUGUAACAAAAAUAGAAAAAAUGUAUGUAUGUAUGUAUGUUAGUGCAUAGUACCUACUAGUAAAGUUAUGUAUCAUGUAUGUUAGUGCAUAUAGUACGUACCUAUCGCAGGCAUGUCAA